GAGCAAGGGCGUUGAACUAGUAUAAAUGGCGCUACUUGCAUUGAAGGUUGGCGAAAUAAGUAUUUGCUAUUCUCCGUGCCUCUCAAAUCAUAUAAAAUUCGUUUUGAUCAGGCCUCGAACAAGUUGCUACAUU